CAUCCACUGUCAUUCAGCAUGUAAUCCGCCUGCCACCCACCACGUAGCCAGGUGAGUAGUAGAGUAUUCUCUUACGGUUAACCCUAACCCUAAGAUGUUAAAACGCAGUGGCGCUUCUCAGCUGUAUCAAUUGGAUCUGAGCGGCGCAAUACUUUUGGUAGCGCCCUCCGUACAUUACGCAGUAAGAGCAGGAGGCCUGAGAACUAUGUAGCUGUAAAGAGCAAGCAACUAAUCCUUGGCCAGAACAGGUAAUUGCCUAAAAGAUAUGGCAUCGCGGAAUCUUGCGCCACCAGCAUCAUAUCAGGUUCGAUCUAUCUGCGAUACUGCGUGUAUAUACUGGCAGCUGGCUCAACCUUCUAGGGGCUGGCGAAUCAUUCUGAUAUAAUCUGAUCCCUACGUUCUACAGCCUCGAUAUCUAACCCUUCUAUCCGAAUCCUAUCGCAUAUACCACCCUAUUACAUUCUAUAGUUUGAUCCUCGUAGAGUCCUAAGGACCUCUCCUAGAUAAGCAGCGAGAUCUCCGACCCGCCGCUUACAGUAGCUCCCUUCUAAUAAAGGGCUGUAAGGUCAGGUUACGGUUGAAUGGGAUUUCAAAAUAUCUGAAUAGGGUUCGGACUUUUUACUAAGGAAGUUUGAACCACAACAAACUUUGAGAAGCCUUGUCAGAGUUCAAAUUUAGAACGACAUACGCAUCAUCUAACAAAGUGUAGAAUUAGAUAUUAGCUUAGGGGUUAGUUAGCGGGUUAGAGAUUCAGAAACAUCAAUCACAUACAGACAGAAAAUAGUAAAGCUGAACAGGGUUCAAAAAUCAUGUGUGCAAUUUUUGAGCUAUGGUAAACCUCAAAGCCA
rnacentral:sRNA from 2 species